rnacentral:rRNA from 1 species
AUCCAGAGAACUUAGCAGAGAUGCUUGGUGCCUUCGGGAACUCUGAGACAGGUGCUGCAUGGCUGUCGUCAGCUCGUGUUGUGAAAUGUUGGGUUAAGUCCCGCAACGAGCGCAACCCUUAUCCUUUGUUGCCAGCGGUUCGGCCGGGAACUCAAAGGAGACUGCCGGUGAUAAACCGGAGGAAGGUGGGGAUGACGUCAAGUCAUCAUGGCCCUUACGGCCAGGGCUACACACGUGCUACAAUGGCGCAUACGAAGAGAAGCGACCUCGCGAGAGCAAGCGGACCUCAUAAAGUGCGUCGUAGUCCGGAUUGGAGUCUGCAACUCGACUCCAUGAAGUCGGAAUCGCUAGUAAUCGUAGAUCAGAAUGCUACGGUGAAUACGUUCCCGGGCCUUGUACACACCGCCCGUCACACCAUGGGAGUGGGUUGCAAAAGAAGUAGGUAGCUUAACCUUCGGGAGGGCGCUUACCACUUUGUGAUUCAUGACUGGGGUGAAGUCGUAACAAGGUAAGCGUAGCGAG